CAUCCUGCCACUAGAAGAUACAUUUCUGUAUAUGGACCUCACUGCCCUCAAAAGAAGUCUUGAUGUGCCUGAUGUUUCCUGCCACAGACACUGUGGUAUAUCCUAGAUCCAGAUUGCCACCAUGUAACAAGAUCAUCAGUGUUCCUGACUGCCACUUUGGACUGAAAUUAUAUCAUGUGUGAUCCCCUCAUCCAAGGGAAAUAUGAUGACAUCACCCAUCCAUGCUCACCCUGGCAACCAGGUUGUGACUGAUGUAAACUGCCACUUUUGAGUAGAUUGAUAACAUCUGUGAUCCCAGAUGCCAAGGCAAAUAUAUUGAUAUUACUCACCCAUGCUGCCACUAAAAACCAUGUCGAAACCCAUAGUUUGGUCAUUGAGGAGUUCCAGUUUGUCUGUGGUCCCUCUGCUAGAAGAGUCUAUUGUGAAGUUCCUAGUCAGUACUGCUGCCUAAGGACAUAAUGACGUAAGUGCUGUGUGCUGCUACUGGAGACCAUUUUAUGUGUGUGAUCCUACAUGGAGCCUGAAGCUAUGCUGAUGUCAGUACUGUAAGUAGUGAACCUUAAUCAUAAUGGAGUCAUGGUUCCCGUUGGUAAUAGAGACCAAGGUGAUGGCUAUGAUCUGUGCUGGUGCUUGAGAACCCAUUAAAUUCCAAGGUCCAUACUGCACUCAAGAUCAUUUUGAGGCUGUGUUAUCUUCGAAGAGCUCCCUGAUGUCUGAGAGUCCUCAUCCAGAAGAGUUAAUAGUGAUGAUCAAUAAUCCUACCUAAGGUCUUAAUGAUUUAAAUGUGUGCUACUACUGAAUGUACCUUUGAUGCCUGUGAUCCUACCUGCAAAUUGAUGCCAGGUUGAUGUCAGUACUACAUGAUGUGGCCAACAAUCACGAUGGAGUCCAUUGUUGAUAUUGCUGAUGGAGACCCUGGUGAUGGCUAUGAUUUCUGCUGCUGCUUGAGGACAUGCUGAAUUAUAAGGUCUAUACUGACACUUGAGGUCAUAUUAAGACCUUGUUAUAAGUAACAUACUUGUUACUAACAGAAGAGCUAUCAAUGUGAUUGAAUCCUUCUGAUACUGGAGAAAAGGUUUACGUCCAUAAUUACUUCUAUCGUUUGAAUCUAUGUUGGUGCCAGUUAUACAGCUGUCAAUAGACAUCAUACCAUAUCCAGGAUCCCUGCUGCCAAUAGCAAACAUCAUAUAGUAAUUUGUUCAGCCAGUUUGUGCCAGGAUGAUGAUAUCAGUGAUCUCAACUGCCAACAUAAAUAUAUUGAUGUAAUUCAUCCAUGCUGCUACCUGUAAUUAUGUUGAUAUCUAUAGACAUUGCUGCCUCUAAAGAGCUUGGUGAUAUCUGCCACCCCUGUUGCUAAAAGUGUCUGACUUGGAGUUUAUGGUCAAUACUGCUACCUAAGUCAUGUUGACUGAAGUGUACUUUGAUUCAACCAGAGAUGAGUUUCAUCUAUGGAACCUGAAAUGCAACCUGAAACAAUGUUGAUGUCAGUGCUUCCUGCUGCCACCAGUAAUCAUGAUGAUGUUUAUUGUUCCUAUUAAGAUAUGACAGAACACAGUAAUGUAUGAAAUGCCUGUGGUAUAUGCUUAUAGCUCCUGCUUUUGACUAUAUUAUCUAUAAGAUCCUUACUGCAAACAAAAGAAGCAUUGAUGUCAAUGAUCCAUCACGCAAAAGGAGAAGUUGAUGUUAGUAUUAUCUCCUGCCCUCUGAAUCUAUGCUGAUGUCAGUGAUACACAUGGAAACAGAUACUGUGAUUUUAUCUAAGAUAUAUGCUGCCACAGGCAACCUUGACUAAACUGAUCCCUGCUUCAAAAAAAAUAAUCUGUGCGUGGUCUGGCCUGUCUGCUGAAACUAUGUUGAUGUCACUGAUACCUUCUGGAAGCAAACACUAUGAUGUAUCCUAGAUCACUGCUGCCUCUGGCCACCAGCAAACAUGAUGGUGUCUAUUGUUCCAAUUGAGAUCCUACCUACCACAGGAAAGUAGAAUGAUGUCCCCGAUGUAUGAAUGGAGCCCCUGCUAAGAUCCUCACUGCUACCAGAAGAACUAUUGAUGUACAUGAUCCAUCCUGACAGAAAUUUGUGCUGCCAGUUGUAACAAUUUUGAUAUCAAGAAUACAUCCUUCAACUAGAGAAGUAAUUUAGGUCCAUGAUCUGACAUAUGAAGUUAAACUAUAAUGUCACCAAUAACUUCCUAGUAACAAACAUUAUGGUAUAUCCCAGAUCUAUACAACCAUAGGCAUGGGGUGUUAAUGAUUUCUGGCCUUACUUUGGACAAGGAUUAUGGUUUCCAUGAUCCCACCUACCAAUGGAAAUACAUUGUUGCCACUCAAUCCUGCUGCCAGUUAUAACCAUGUUGACAUGCAGAGUCUUGACUCUGGAGAUCUUGAUGAUAAUCUGUAAGCCCUAUUGCCAUAAGAGUCUAUCCAGAAUAUCAUUGCUGCUCAAGUUCAAUUUGAGUUAUGUCUUCUGAGGUGCCACCUGAGAGUUGUGUAUGAAUCUGACUUGUUACCAGAAUC
rnacentral:lncRNA from 1 species